rnacentral:lncRNA from 1 species
GGAGUAUACGUUGCUCACAGGAGCUGUGCUCUCCAGGGUGGGCUGUACCAGCACGCUGCCUGCUUCUCACCUCCCCCACACAGAAGUCAGUUGGAAAAUUUGGGAUUCUGGUGUUCAUGCAGAGUUACGCAAGUCACAGUCAAGCUGUUUAAAUCUCCGUAUGCAGCCCCAGAGGAACAUGACAGUGUUUGGUGCUGAUAAGAUAUGAGUCUGCACUUCUGAGUGCUUGCUCACGAGCAUUCCUACCGUGUCAGAGCAAGUUCUUGCUGAAGAAAAUGCGAAUACCUUACACUCUAUGACAAUGUUGCAAAUCAGAAAUAGUUGCAGUUACCUCACGCUAGUUCCCUCUGAGGCAGAACAAAUCCUAAGGUUCCAGCUGAAUGCUUAUGAAUCACUACCUUGGGGAAAAAAAAAUGAUACCACCUGUCAAAUUUCAUCUAAACUCUCAGAAAAUGGGGAAAAUGUGCUGAAUGAGGCAGUUAGUGAUGGUGUUGUACAGGGAUUAUUACUACAUGACACUGUGAGUUAUGAUAUACUUACUGCGCGUUCCUUUCUAGCAGAGAAACAGAGCAGAAACUGCACAGCUGAUGGAGUGUGAGGAGAAGAAAUCUGAACAUCAUUGUCUAAGUAAGUAAAACAUGUAAUUUUUUUCAGGCAAAGUAGAAAUGAACACAACGCAUAUAUUUUCUAUGAACUUAAAAAGUACGUGCAGAAGUUGCAUGUAGAUAUGCAGGGGUUAAAUAGGGAGAAAUGAACGAAUGGUCCAGGGAUGUUUUUAAAAAUGCUUCUGGAACAAAGUAAUAAAUGGAAGAGCAGCAUUCAGGAUGGCAGAAGUAGUGCCACUCCAGGUAAGAACAUAGGCUUUGGGACUGGAGUUUAUAGUACAGGAGACUGUUUAUGCAAGACUACCCAGCUCUGGGGCUGUGUGCUAAAUACUGUGAAGAAAGAGAUGGAAUAUAGUAUACACAGAGUCCCUCCUCUGGUAAGACAUUUAACACGUCAUCAGGCAGAUGAGUUGUCCGACUGAAGUCUGGAUGAGCAAGCCUUUAAAAAUCUAUUGGACAUUUACACUGCUAAAUUACAUAUCAAGAAAUAUGAUUCUAUUAAAUAUAAUCCCAUGAAAUACCAGGGAUUUUUGUUCUCCACCAUUUUCAUUCGUGUUAGUUUAGUACUGCUUGGUGGGACAAAUGCUCAGUAAUAAUAACAACCCAUUUUCCUGUCUUUGAGUAACUACUUUUUUUUUUCCCCUGCAGAUCUUUAUAUAAGGCUUCUAAACCUAACUGUCAAAGUUCAUUCAGCUGAGCUAAAAUACAAAACAAGGUACUUAGUGGCUUUGAAAUAAAACUAGAGAUUAUCGCAAGUGCUGCAGUUGUUCAAAUUCAGCUCCUGCCAAGUUUUCACACCACCGAUGCUUCUAAGAACAGAGAAACCUACCUUAGAAGCUUCUUCCCAAUUUGUAUCUUGCUAUUUUCAGUAUUAAAUUUAGAACAGUGUCUAAAUGAAACGUCUCAUCUUGUUUGUGGUGGCAUUCUUUUAAUGACAUUGUACCUCAUACACUUGACAUAAAGACUCAUACUGAGUGCUGCAGCUCCGUGGCAAGCAAAGCACCAUCCUGUAAAUGAAAGGAUCGCAUUCUCUUUGCAGGUUUUGUUCCUUCUGGCAAGCUAGAAGAUGUAAAAUAUGAACUGGAGAAAAAGGAGAGGAAGGAAGCAUCACACAUCAUCUAGCUAACGUAUUUUAAACACACUGUUCUUUUGGAAUGGUUUUGGUAGAGUCAUGAAUAACAAAACUGUGCCAUCAUCAGUUUCCAGGAAAUCCUCUUUCCAAUAGUUCUCAAGACAUCAGCCUUUUUGUGCUGCUCAAACAGCUUCUCUCCUGAACAAAUCACAAGGAUUUUAUUUUAAUCCAUGCAUAUUGUUUUAAGUGUAUAACUGAUGGGUUAUUAAAACAGGCAAUAGACCAUUAGCUGUGUGAAAAUUAGCGUGGAUUAAACCAAGCUUGUUCAGGUUCCGUCAGGGGUUCAAACAGCAAUGCAAGACACGUGGCCAAAUGCGCUAACUAACUGCUAGAGCCAAGAUGUAUUUGAUUUAUUGGCUUGAUAACCAUAGCUGACUUUGAGAUUGUCUAGGUCCUCUGAGUUUGAAGGGGUUCAAGUGAGGAGACUCUGUUUGAGUCUGUUUGUAUUUUAAAGGCAGAACGUGGCACUGAGGGUCAUGGUUAGCGGGCAUGGUGUUGGUGUGUUGAUGGUUGGACCAGAUGAUCUUAGUGGUGCUUUCUAACCUUAAUGAUUUAAUGAUUGUAUAGCUGAGCAAGUAUUAUAGGAUGCAUAUAUUAAAAAUGAAACUUCAACCAACGGGAAAAGAUAGCGUUUAGGUAGAUAAUGCCCGGGGAAAUCCCUGUAGUGAAAGCAUAGAAUUUAACCAUUGAUAAACCACCAGAGUACAAUUAGUUAACUGAAAAUCCGUCUGGAAAACAAAUCAGAAGUGCUAAGAAAAACUGUCUUGCUGCCUGCUGAAUUUAAUCAUCUUGCUUAUAGAAACUGUUACAGCAUUCGGUGUUAUAGGACUCCAUUUUUAAUGUACUUACAAUAUGUAAGAUACACUUAGGUAACUACAGCAUGUGUUUGUUCUACAGUUUUACUGGUGCAAGGCAAACAACUGUUGUUAAAGUGAGACUUUCGUGUUAUCAGAUAAAAGCAUGAAACGAGCUUCUAGGAAAAUGGGUUCCAGGUAGGAAAGGUGCCUCUGACUAUCACGCCAAAGCAGGCAUGCUAGUGAUAAAGAAAUAAGCUCCCACCUGGGAGAAAAGUUGCUGCUCCUCCUUCAGAGCAGUAAAGUACAAAAGGGACUCAGAAGAGCUAUGAGGAAAAAGAAAACAACUAUUUGUUAAGAGAAGCAUGUUAAUUUGGAAAGCAGAAUUAUUCAUAAAACAACCGGUACCUCAUAACACUAAUAACACAACUAGCACAUACAUAUACAUGAAUACUAGUAUAUAUACAACUUGUAUAUUCAUAAAACAACUAUGCUUGUACAAUUAGGGAAAAGCUGCCCAUCAAGAAAGGUAACUGCCUGUUAAUGAAUUGAGGCAGCUACUAUGUCACUACCAAUAAAUUCCAUUUUUUUUCUAGCAAUUUUGGUGUGGGCAUCAAAUUAACUUUUCUACAGAGGAGAAGCUCUUAUACAAAAGCCAUCUGACAGCAGGUUGGGGCAGUUCUAAUAAAAAAAAAUGCAAUGAAAUGGUUGUUGACUGAAGGGAAUGAGGAACGGGUUUCUAGCAGAGUAAACAGGUAAUGGAGAAGUUCAACCACAAGACUGCUUGUAAACCAGCACUGCCAUUUCACAUUUCUACUGUAUCCAAAUGGAUUGCUUCUUCAUACAACUGAUGCAUGGAUGAUUAUCCAUACAAUGUAGGCAGAUUUUUCUGAAAUAAUUAUACAGAAAGCUGAAGUUGGAGCUGAAUUCACAGAAUUACCACAGGAACAGAGAGGAGACUGCAGGCCUGCCCCAGGCCAUCGGGCCCGCAGGGCUACACUGAGGCGGUAGACAGCACUGCCUGCAUUUCUGCCCAUGAGGUUCCACAUGGAAAAAGUCCAUGGAGGGUGUUGCACGGAAGCCCCAGGAGACCUAUGUAAACUGUCACAAAGUUUACAGUGAGUAUCUUAUUUCCUGAUCUCUAUUACCCUAAUGAGAUAAUUAGAAGUUUAUUUUAAUACUGAGGUGUCAUGAAAACUCUCUUUGGGUCAAAGAGUGCAGGUGAGUAAAGUUCGCGGGGUAUAUUUCCUGUAUUUCUUAGCUCAAGUCACCAAGUAAUUUCUUCCUUCAGCACGUUAAAAAAGCAGUGACCAAUACCACCCAUAUGCUGUCCAUCUCCAGGAUUUCCAUUUGUCAGGUUCCACAUCAGAAACAUUGCAGAGGCAGCAUCUCUCUUAUUUUUCAGUUCUCUUUCAUAGACUACAGAAGUACUAAAUAAUCUUGUAACACUUCAAAAAAGCUUCACGUUGAACCCACAGAAAGCUCAAGUUCUGGAAUAUAGUAAUCCAUACCAGCACCUGUCUCAGGCAGUUGGUGGAAUCACAGAACAUCUUAGGUUGGAACUAAUUUAAAUUUUUUUUAAAAAAAACUAUAAAAAACUAUAUAAAAAACUAUAAAAACUAUAAAAAACUAUAAAACUAUUUAAAAAAAAUAUUUUUUUAACAGCACAGUUACUGCCAUCUCAUAUCUCCUACUGCUGAGUGCUCUAUUGGAGCUGCAGGAGCAUUUGGUCUGCAGAUCUUGAAGCCUUUUUGGCUGCUUCUUUGCCACCUAAUGGUGCCUGUAGAGCCCUGGUAAGCAAUGCUUUCUCUUUCUGUUCUCUGAAGACCUCUCUGCUUCCUGCCACUUGCAAGGAGUGGAGCAGCUCCUUCAGCUCCACUUUCCCCUAUAAAACCUGGAGGUGGCUCAAUAAGGAAGGAGUCGCACAAAAUGGCUGCAACGUACAUGGCACAUAAUAGGGCUUUAUGUCAGACCUCUAAAUUCAAGAGAGCAAUAACUAUAGCUGCAGAGAAAUACCAGAAGAAUUUCAAGCUCUCUUUCAUGUUUGUUCAGCUCUUACCCACACCAUACCUGCUUCUGUAGGGCUGGCAGAACAGCUUAUUUAUAUGUCUGGUUUCUGAGUGGGGGUUUUCAAAUGAAGACAAAAAAAUUAAGUGCUAAGGCUACUCAGAAUUUGAGUUUUAGGUACUUUUUACAUCCACAUUGCAUGACUCAGAGUACCAAGAGUUUCAUUCUCAGCAGUAUUCCCAGAAGCGUUAAGUGCUGAGAGCCAAGUUUUCAGUGAAUGAAUGGCUCUUUCAUACACACACAUGAUGCAGUAAGUAAGAACCCUGUCGAGGAUGCAGUAAGUAAGAACCCUGUCGAGACCCAGUUAGUGGGGGACCGUACCCCAAGGUCCCCAUACAGACUGUGGAAAAGUAAAAAGACCACUGUAGGAGGCACUUCCCAUUUGGAUAGAUGCUACUGACUGUGUUCUCAGAAUAGCAGCAGCCCCACAUAACAAACAAUCUGAUUUGCUUACAUCUUUUUUGAACCACAGCACUUUGUAUGUUGUUCAAGGCCCUUUCAGAUGUCAGAGAAGAUCUUCAUACAACCUAAAUUUUCUGAGGUAAAUUUUGAUUUAUUUAAAGAGAUCUGACAUUCAGAAAGUCCUGUUGCCCAGUUCCUGACAAUGAAGCCCUGGGAAACUACUGUAUGACGCUUACUCAAACAUUAUUCAGUUUUCAAAAGUUGACUUAAAUUACAUUGCGAGUAAUCUAAGCCCACUGAGGACUAGUCCUCUUCUUCUAACCUCACCCUCUGGUUGGUAUUGAUUCUUGUAACCAAAAUGGCAUUUAUAAUUGUACGGCUAAUUAAAUGGGAUUGGUAGUUUCAUUUAUUGUUUUUAAAUGAGCCCACAAUAAUGCUGCAGUAAGGCUGAGACUAUCUGAAUAUGAUGUGUUUCAUAAACCCUCUGCUCAUUUCAGACAGAGAUUAAGUAAUCCUUACUCUUGAAAUAGGAAAGUGUGUCAUCAGACAAAAAGCUCCGAUGCUUAAGAUCAUACUGAAAUAGUCAUUCUGUUUGUUCAGCUGUACAUAUCAUGAUAAGUCUGAGCUCACUGCCUUUCUGUAUUAUAAAGGCACUCUACUUUAAAUCGCUUAUCUUUUCUAAGCAUAUGCUUAAAUACCCCUGGAUAGAGAGAAAAGAAGAAAGAAGAAAGGAGGAAGGGAAUGAAAGGGAAGGGGAGGGUAGAUGUAAAGGACUUGUUGUUUUUGAUUAAUAGUGAUUAGUGAUGCUAAAACUAAUCAGAAAAGUAGCAAUGGGUUCUAAGCAGGUUUAAAGACAGAAUCUUCCUCCUCUCUAGACCCAUCUGUAUUUGAACGUGACAUCUUCCUCCUUCACAAUUCACAGUGACCAAAAUAAGAAUAUCAAUAGCGUGGGUAGAAAACCAGAAGAUGAAAGCACAAACAAAAAUAUCUGUGGUCAUGUGUACCUGUCUGAAAUAUGCAUUUGAAGAGGAGAGCAAUCCAUGUGCUGAACAGUCACAAAGAUAUCAGUCCUCUUGGGUUAAGGAAUAAGUUCAGCUAGAAAACAGGUUAGCUUCAGUGCAACAUGCAAACUGAAAAUGUUCUAUGCUUAUUAUAAAGCCAAAUUUGAGUAUGCAUUCACGUGGAGGCCAGAGAACAUCCCUUUAUCCAGGCACCCCUCCCCUCCCAACACCUGCAUCCGAAGCAGAGGGAACCUCGAGCUUCUCAGAGACAAGGGUGCCACAGUCACAUUUUUUCUCUAUCACACCCUGUCAAGAACAAUUUCUAGAUGUGUUUUAUAGUGCUUUGUAAAUAUUUGACAUUUUUUUUCCUAUGCUUGCUUACUUUUCUUUAAACUCAUAGGUCAUAUGCAUAAGCAUAUAUGACCAUAAGUAUUGGCACAGCUGUGGUUGUGUAGUGAGAAUGAGUAUGACCACUGCCGGUGGGUGGGACCUACUCAUCACUUCAAGUUAGGUACAUGUUUAAGAGAUUUGUUUGAUAUGGACACCACAUCAAAGCUCCACAGACACCAUAUCAAAGCUCCACAAAGCUCCACAGAGCUCCACAGUAAGUGCUGUGUUGAGCCAGGGCCUAAAUGUAGUUUGCCAUGUGGGGCCUUCUUGGCUUCGCUGAUUACCUACCUGGCAGCCUCGCUCUCUUAGAUGAGAACUCCUUCACUUCAGAACCUGUGUUCAGCAACUUAAAGCCUACUUUCUCAUAGUAAGAAAACAGUGAUUAUACUCUCAUGGUAAAACGUUGAAUUAAUACUCUCUUGAGCCGAGAUUACAAGAUUAGGAGAUCAUCAUAAAAAUCUGAAAACACUGCAUAUUAGGAGUUAUAACACUCAUAUUAGGAGUUACACAAACUACAAAUAAAAAUGUUGUCUGCUGCCUUUUGUAAAAUUCUGCUUACAUUUUCUUUCUUUCCUUUUAAAAUACCGUGUAACUAGAGUUUUAUGUCUUGCCAAGUUUAGCCAGGUGAGAAAACAUGAACCUCUUUUUCUUAACUAAAGGGGAAAUAUGAAACAGUUAUAGUAGCAAAGCAAACUUAUUAGCAUACUUUUUCUGCUUUUUUUCCUUCCAAAAUCUUCUGUGAAUCCAAUUUUUCCAUAAAAUACGGUUGUUCAAAUAAACCGUGGGCUGUGCAGGAGCCACCAAACUCAUGGCUUACAAAACAAUCCUCAUAUUCCAGCACAACCACUUUAGGUCAUUGAAACUUGACCUGUGGCUGGAAUGUUGCCCGUGCAUUAGGGCUCACUUCCGAAGUCUGGUGCUUGGGAUGUUCAGAUUACUUAUCCUGAAUAAAGAAAGAAAAAUAAAAAGACAAUAUUGCAUUUUUUUUCUUUCUUUUUUUUUUAACAUGUAACUCAUAUAAACAAUGCUGUAUGUGAUUUAAUUUACCAUCGAGAGAAAUAAUUAGUAGUUAUUCUGUAGUCUUUUUUAAAGUACAUUUGAUUCUUAAUUUUUCUGCUAUCAUAUAAGUACCUUUUGCCUAAAAAGCCUGCAGUCGAUUAGUACUGGGUAGUACUUUGUAAAGCUGUUUAGGCCAGAUUUCCAGGCAGGAAUCCACACAGAUCAAUGUAAAUCCAGCUGAAGUCAACAGAACUACUUUGGACAUAUAUGUGACAUGUAAGUAUUGUGAACUCUCUCCCUUCUCUAGGAUGCCAGAACUCGUUCAGCUCAGCAGUUUAUGUUAGCUGCUGUCCAAUGCUUUGCUGAAAACUGCACCCCCAUGUAAGUGUUUACAGUAUGUAAAAAAAUAUUGGAUAUCUCUCUUCAAUAGCUUCAUGGAGCCGUGAUGAGAUAGUGAGAAAUUGGUAUCCUCUCCUAAACUAGAUAAAGUAAAGAAUUAGUAGCUAUAACGACUUAAAUAAACAACCAAAUUCCACUCGGAUAAAUAUAAUUAUAAACUGAAAACAUUUACUCAGAUGUCUGUAUUCGCUUCUCAAUGACAUUGGUAGAUGUCACGAUACCCACUAGAGGGAGCUCACACAGUCACAUUACCUCCUACAGACUUAGGACAUGUUAUUUAAAAGGUCAUAAAUAGAUUUAGGCACAUUUUUUAACACAUUUGAAUGAAUGGCUGGAUGUAAAUUAGUUUAGCUGGGAACUUAUGCUUUUCUUUCUUUUUUUUUUUUGAAAUUAUUUCACAGUUUGUAUAUUCCUUUUCAAUAGUAAACCAAUCUUACCUAGCACUUAUUGUGUUCAGAGUAAUGUAACAAAUGACUCAGGUUGCAGUUGCAAGUGCUCAGUAGUUUUUCCUAUCACUUUCAAGUCCUACACUCAGAAAAUAUGGAACCCGGCAACAGAACAAGGGGAAAUGGGCACAAAUAUUGCAAGUUCUAUCUGAACAUGAGGAAAAGCUUCUGGACUGAGGGUGACAAAGCACUGCAACAGGCUGCCCAGAGGGGCUGUGAAGUCUCCUUCUCUGAAGAUACUCAAGACCCAUCUGGAUACUUUCCUGUGUGACCUGCUGUAGGGAACUGCUUUAGCAGGGGUUGGACUCGAUGGUCUCCAGAGAUCCCUUCCAACCCCUGUGAUUCUGUGAUUCUCAUUCUCCUCGGCCUGCUGAUAAUUAUAGAAUCAGAGAAUAUCCCAAGCUGGAAGGGACUCGCGAGGAUCACCAAAGUCCAAUUCUGGCUCCAUUCAUG